rnacentral:rRNA from 1 species
GACGAACGCUGGCGGCGUGCUUAACACAUGCAAGUCGAACGGAAAGGCCCUGCUUUUGUGGGGUGCUCGAGUGGCGAACGGGUGAGUAACACGUGAGUAACCUGCCCUUGACUUUGGGAUAACUUCAGGAAACUGGGGCUAAUACCGGAUAGGAGCUCCUGCUGCAUGGUGGGGGUUGGAAAGUUUCGGCGGUUGGGGAUGGACUGGCGGCUUAUCAGCUUGUUGGUGGGGUAGUGGCUUACCAAGGCUUUGACGGGUAGCCGGCCUGAGAGGGUGACCGGCGACAUUGGGACUGAGAUACGGCCCAGACUCCUACGGGAGGCAGAAGUGGGGAAUAUUGCACAAUGGGCGGAAGCCUGAUGCAGCAACGCCGCGUGCGGGAUGACGGCCUUCGGGUUGUAAACCGCUUUCGCCUGUGACGAAGCGUGAGUGACGGUAAUGGGUAAAGAAGCACCGGCUAACUACGUG